rnacentral:rRNA from 1 species
ACGUACGCUGGCGGCACGCCUAACACAUGCAAGUCGAACGAAGUAGCAAUACUUAGUGGCAGACGGGUGAGUAACAUGUAGGUAUCUGCCCUUUGGCCUGGAAUAACACGAGGAAACUUGUGCUAAUACCGGAUAAGUCUUUACGGAGAAAGCUUUAUGCACCAUUGGAUGAGCCUGCACUUGAUUAGUUUGUUGGUGGGGUAAUGGCCUACCAAGACUGUGAUCAAUAGCUGAUUUGAGAGGAUGAUCAGCCACAUUGGGACUGAGACACGGCCCAAACUCCUACGGGAGGCAGCAGUGGGGAAUCUUGCACAAUGGAGGAAACUCUGAUGCAGCGAUGCCGCGUGAGUGAAGAAGGCCCUUGGGUUGUAAAGCUCUUUCGUCGGGGAAGAAAAUGACUGUACCCGAAUAAGAAGGUCCGGCUAACUUCGUGCCAGCAGCCGCGGUAAUACGAAGGGACCUAGCGUAGUUCGGAAUUACUGGGCUUAAAGAGUUCGUAGGUGGUUGAAAAAGUUGGUGGUGAAAUCCCAGAGCUUAACUCUGGAACUGCCAUCAAAACUUUUCAGCUAGAGUAUGAUAGAGGAAAGCAGAAUUUCUAGUGUAGAGGUGAAAUUCGUAGAUAUUAGAAAGAAUACCAAUUGCGAAGGCAGCUUUCUGGAUCAUUACUGACACUGAGGAACGAAAGCAUGGGUAGCGAAGAGGAUUAGAUACCCUCGUAGUCCAUGCCGUAAACGAUGUGUGUUAGACGUUGGAAAUUUAUUUUCAGUGUCGCAGGGAAACCGAUAAACACACCGCCUGGGGAGUACGACCGCAAGGUUAAAACUCAAAUGAAUUGACGGGGACCCGCACAAGUAGUGGAGCAUGUGGUUUAAUUCGAAGAUACGCGCAGAACCUUACCAACACUUGACAUGUUCGUCGCGACUCUAAGAGAUUAGAGUUUUCGGUUCGGCCGGACGAAACACAGGUGCUGCAUGGCUGUCGUCAGCUCGUGUCGUGAGAUGUUGGGUUAAGUCCCGCAACGAGCGCAACCCUCACUUUUAGUUGCCAUCAUUAAGUUGGGCACUCUGAAAGAACUGCCAGUGAUAAGCUGGAGGAAGGUGGGGAUGACGUCAAGUCCUCAUGGCCCUUACGUGUUGGGCUACACACGUGCUACAAUGGUAUCUACAACAGGAAGCAAGACUGCGAAGUUAAGCAAAUCCCUAAAAGAUACCUCAGUUCGGAUUGCACUCUGCAACUCGAGUGCAUGAAGCUGGAAUUACUAGUAAUCGUGGAUCAGCGUGCCACGGUGAAUGCGUUCCCGGGUCUUGUACUCACCGCCCGUCAAGGG